CCAGGUGCCCCAUUCCACCCUGAAAGCGCCCAAUCUCUUCUGAUCUCAGAAGCUAAGCAGAGUCAGGCCUGGUUAGUACUUGGAUGGGAAACCCUUUGUUUUGAAUGCAGUAAUAGUUAAUCUGGC
ensembl:rRNA 5S_rRNA 5S ribosomal RNA